AGCCAAUGAUGUGAGAAAAAUAUUUGCUACUCUUGAUGGAGUAUCCAUUUGAUGAAUUUGAACCACCAAGAUCUCUGAGGCU